GUGUCAGCCGCCGCGGUAAGACGAACCGUCCUAACGUUGUUCGGAAUCACUGGGCUUAAAGGGCGCGUAGGCAGGUUCGCAAGUCCGGGGUGAAAUCUUUCGGCUUAACCGGAAAAGGGCCUUGGAUACUGCGAGUCUCGAGGGAGGUAGGGGCCUGUGGAACUUUGGGUGGAGCGGUGAAAUGCGUUGAUAUCCAAAGGAACGCCGGUGGCGAAAGCGACGGGCUGGACCUCUUCUGACGCUGAGGCGCGAAAGCCAGGGGAGCAAACGGGAUUAGAUACCCCCGUAGUCC
rnacentral:rRNA from 1 species